CGUACAUGGAAUGUGGCUUGUCUAGGGCAACUGUAUUUGUAAAUAAAUGGCUUCCUGUUUAUUACGUUCGCUUUCCUGAGAACUCAGCCUCUGAGCACUUAUUAGAGCAAGUAUUCAACUUCUGGUUUAAUUUCCACUGUGUGGGGUGGGGUGUUUUUUGUUUUGUUUUGUGGUAUUCACUAUAAAGAAACCGGGUUAAAAUGAAUCAGUUGGGUCGGGGGGGUGGUUCCUGAUCCUGAAGCAUCCAGGCUGACCAGGAGAUAACAACCUUACAAGUCCUCACUUUGGCCUAAGUGUGAGGAAGGGGGCUGGAUCCUGGGACGCUGCUGGACUCCAAUCUGGGGAGUUUCACUUUUGCCCCCCGGAUCUUUCUACUGCUGACCGCAGCCUUCUCUAGCAGCUUCAGAGGGCAAGGCGGCUAUCCUCCUGGCGGGUGGCCUGGGCACCGACCUGCCGCCUGGCAUCCCCGCUAACCCUGCAGCCGCGCUCGCCCACCGCCCGCUCAGAGUCGCCGCGCAGGGCCAGGUUCCGCCGCUCCCGGGCGGGGACCGCAACGAGGCCGGGCACACGCAGCCGACCCCAGCGUCCGUGGGGCGCCCGAGUUCCCAACCCCGGGGAGGCGGCCGGGCCUGGCGCCCGAAACUCCAACCAGCGCCGGCCUCCGGCCGCCCUGCCCCCGCUCGCGUCUCCUCUGCCAGACUCGGCGCUCGGAACAAUGCAGCGCCCGGCGCCCCAGCGGGCCUCGCUGACCCCUAAGGCCCCCCGAUCCGGACCGCCGCCCCAUGCUGGACCUUCUUCCGAGCCGAGGAGAGAACAAGGCAGGUGCUAGGUGCUAUCCAACGUCGCCGUGUAGGACUUCUCGUGGUGGGAAGAACCUCAAGAGUGCAGUUUUGGUGAGCUAGUCAUCUUCACCCUUCUUUUAAAAGAAAAACAAAAACGGAACACCACCACAGUAUAAAGGAGAUCGCAUGAUCGCCCCCCCUUU
rnacentral:lncRNA from 1 species